AUGAUGCAAAGCCAGCUCCGUUCGGAGCUCUCCCUCCUGUCAAACUGCGACAACCCCACUCACGGCCACCACGAAGCUCCACGAUUGACCACUGCUCCCUCAAUCGCAAUUGGAUCUGCAAUCGACAACCGAUACGAAGCUCAACCGCGACCUCCGAUGUCGCCAACCUUCAGUCGUUCGCGAUUCCACUGGAUUUCGCUACCACCCCGUCCCUCCGCGAACGUCCGACAGUGCAACCCCUCAGAGUACAGAUCCUUUCCCUUUGCCUUUGUGGUGUUUCUUUUCGUUGCUUCAGGGAUUUCAUUUGAUAAGAUUGGAAGAGAAAGUUUAAGAUUGUCAAAAGAGGAAUAG